rnacentral:rRNA from 1 species
GACGAACGCUGGCGGCGUGCUUAACACAUGCAAGUCGAACGGCAAGGCCCUGCUUUUGUGGGGUGCUCGAGUGGCGAACGGGUGCGUAACACGUGAGUAACCUGCCCUUGACUUUGGGAUAACUUCAGGAAACUGGGGCUAAUACCGGAUAGGAGCUCCUGCUGCAUGGUGGGGGUUGGAAAGUUUCGGCGGUUGGGGAUGGACUCGCGGCUUAUCAGCUUGUUGGUGGGGUAGUGGCUUACCAAGGCUUUGACGGGUAGCCGGCCUGAGAGGGUGACCGGCCACAUUGGUACUGAGAUACGGCCCAGUCUCCUACGUGGGGCAGCAGUGGGGAAUAUGGCACAAUGGGCGGAAGCCUGAUGCAGCAACGCCGCGUUCGUGAUGACGGCCUUCGGGGUGUAAACCGCUUUCGCCUGUUACGAAGCGUUAGUGACGGUAAUGAGUAAAGAAGCACCGGCUAACUACGUG